rnacentral:rRNA from 1 species
UAGCUAGUUGGUGGGGUAAGGGCCUACCAAGGCGACGAUCGGUAGCUGGUCUGAGAGGAUGACCAGCCACACUGGAACUGAGACACGGUCCAGACUCCUACGGGAGGCAGCAGUGGGGAAUAUUGGACAAUGGGGGCAACCCUGAUCCAGCAAUGCCGCGUGUGUGAAGAAGGCCUGAGGGUUGUAAAGCACUUUCAGUGGGGAGGAGGGUUGAUAGGUUAAGAGCUAAUUAACUGGACGUUACCCACAGAAGAAGCACCGGCUAACUCCGUGCCAGCAGCCGCGGUAAUACGGAGGGUGCGAGCGUUAAUCGGAAUUACUGGGCGUAAAGGGUGCGUAGGUGGUUGGUUAAGUUAUCUGUGAAAUUCCUGGGCUUAACCUGGGACGGUCAGAUAAUACUGGUUGACUCGAGUAUGGGAGAGGGUAGUGGAAUUUCCGGUGUAGCGGUGAAAUGCGUAGAGAUCGGAAGGAACACCAGUGGCGAAGGCGGCUACCUGGCCUAAUACUGACACUGAGGCACGAAAGCGUGGGGAGCAAACAGGAUUAGAUACCCUGGUAGUCCACGCUGUAAACGAUGUCAACUAGCUGUUGGUUAUAUGAAAAUAAUUAGUGGCGC